GCAGCCGGCGCUGCGUGAGGGGCGGGGCGGCGUGCGGGAGGGACCCCGGCCCUGGCCCCGCUCCGCGCCGCUGGGUGCGGGUUUGUUGACAGGCCCCGCUGGCCCGGGGAAGGGCGGCUCGUUAUCUCGUCCCUGGGGCUCUCCACCUCGGCCAUGACAGUAACGGUGCCCCGGAGGAGGGCGGUGCCGGUGCCGGAGCCCCCGGCCGGGCGGCGGGUCACAGGGCCGCGAGGGGCAGGGGCCCGUCACGGAGAUGGCGUCUCCCCUCCACCGGCCCGGGGAGCAGGUACAGCCCUGCCCCCGGCGGGAAGCGGGGGCUCGGGGCCCGUCCGGGUCAGGGGUCUCUGCCCGCCCAGGGCACGGCAGCGUGCCCCUCCCGCCCCAAACCGGCCCGAUGAGCACAGACACCGCGGGGACGCAGCCUUGGGGCAGGGGUGGCACAUCCAUCCGUACUCACCAGUCACUGCCCCGCCCCUGAACCCAGCAGCCCACAAGACCGCGGCGACUGAAGAACAGGGGAGGACACGAUACCGCGGGAGCGAAGGCUGGAAGGAAAGAAGACCCCUGAUCACUUCUAUUUUGUUUUUAACACGAGUGUAAUUCAGAUAUGUUGCAGAUAGAAUGAUUUGCAUUAGGCACUCAAUACUCCUGAUUCAACUAGAGGGGCCUGCUGUCAACACACAUCUGCUGAAACCCCAAAGAUCCUCCGAGAAAAUCAAUAAAACUCCAAUUUUACAGUCUUGA